rnacentral:lncRNA from 1 species
AAGUAAGCAAUAAAUUCUAGAGACAAAAAUUACGAGAGUUUAUGUUCAACAUAUUUGCAAAAUAAUAAAAUAAAAGAGUGUAAAAAAUAAAUCAAAGUUGGUAAUAAAAUGGGAUAAAAUAAAAUAAAAUGAAAGUGAAAUAAAAAAUAAAUAGACAAAAUGCAUACAUUGGGGGUUGAACCCCUGACCUUAGGGUCAUCGGGGGAUCAACCCCCUCUCCCACUGGGCCACAAGCUCAG